UACGUAGGGUGCAAGCGUUGUCCGGAAUUAUUGGGCGUAAAGAGCUUGUAGGCGGUCUGUCGCGUCUGCUGUGAAAAUCCGGGGCUCAACCCCGGACUUGCAGUGGGUACGGGCAGACUAGAGUGAUGUAGGGGAGACUGGAAUUCCUGGUGUAGCGGUGAAAUGCGCAGAUAUCAGGAGGAACACCGAUGGCGAAGGCAGGUCUCUGGACAUUAACUGACGCUGAGGAGCGAAAGCAUGGGGAGCAAACAGG
rnacentral:rRNA from 1 species